GAUGAAGAACGUAGUGAAAUGCGAUAAGUAAUGUGAAUUGCAGAAUUCAGUGAAUCAUCGAAUCUUUGAACGCACAUUGCGCCCGCCAGUAUUCUGGCGGGCAUGCCUGUUCGAGCGUCAUUUCAACCAUCAAGCCCCAGGCUUGUGUUGGGGACCUGCGGCUGCCGCAGGCCCUGAAAACCAGUGGCGGGCUCGCUGUCACACCGGGCGUAGUAGAUUUUAUCUCGCUCAGGGCGUGCUGCGGGUUCCGGCCGUUAAAAAGCCUUUUUUACCCAAGGUUGACCUCGGAUCAGGUAGGAAGACCCGCUGAACUUAAGCAUAUCAAAGCGGAGGA
rnacentral:misc_RNA from 1 species